rnacentral:rRNA from 1 species
GGCUCAGGAUGAACGCUAGCGGCAGGCUUAACACAUGCAAGUCGAGGGGUAGAGCAGCAAUGCUUGAGACCGGCGCACGGGUGCGUAACGCGUAUGCAAUCUACCUUUUACAGAGGGAUAGCCCAGAGAAAUUUGGAUUAAUACCUCAUAGUAUWWWRRRWUGGCAUCAWYWUWWWAUUAAAGUCACAACGGUAAAAGAUGAGCAUGCGUCCCAUUAGCUAGUUGGUAAGGUAACGGCUUACCAAGGCAACGAUGGGUAGGGGUCCUGAGAGGGAGAUCCCCCACACUGGUACUGAGACACGGACCAGACUCCUACGGGAGGCAGCAGUGAGGAAUAUUGGUCAAUGGACGCAAGUCUGAACCAGCCAUGCCGCGU